UUAUUUGUUUUUUGUAAAUAUUCAAAACAAUAUAUAGUGCUACCUAGUGGUGAACUCUGUAGUCCAUAGAAAUCUAUAGGACUACAACUCCCAUGGUGCUCCAGCCAAUCAGUGGAGUCAGGUGUGUUUAGGUGUGGGCAAUUACAGGCUGAAGAAGCUGCUGAGAGACACUUCUCAACCGACUAACGUUUACAGAUUAAGCAGGUGGCAUCCAACAGACUGACAAGCCAAACAAGUCAUCAGAACUACAUGAGAAAACACCAUUGCGGGACAUCCUGGUGGCUCAUCCUCUGAACAGCCAGUUGUCUCUAACGUACCUGAGCGUCCGCAGUCGGAGCAGGACACCAGCUCUUCUGAUUGGCCAGUCUUGUGAUUGUUCUUGGAGUCUCCCAGGCAGAAAUCACAGUACUUAUUAGGCAAAGCGAGACCAUCUGGGCCUUUCUUGGGAGCUGCAAAACAAGAUGAAAACACCCAAAGAGCCUAAGUGUUCAGUUUCUCUGAAGUCCAGCUCUAGAUUGAACCUUGCAAUCUAAUUAGGGCUGGGACAAUUCACUAUGUAUUGUGAUUUUUAAGUAUUGUGAUUCAAUAUUGCAAUUUAUGUUUACUUUUUUUAACACUAGAC